rnacentral:rRNA from 1 species
CUUUAGUUGCCAGUAUUCAGUUAGGCACUCUAAAGAUACUGCCUCGGUUAACGGGGAGGAAGUGGGGACGACGUCAAGUCCUCAUGGCCUUUAUAUCCAGGGCUACACACGUGCUACAAUGGGUCGUACAAAGGGUCGCCACUCCGCGAGGAGGAGCUAAUCCCAAAAAGCGGCUCUCAGUUCGGAUCGGAGUCUGCAACUCGACUCCGUGAAGUUGGAAUCGCUAGUAAUCGUGGAUCAGCAUGCCACGGUGAAUACGUUCCCGGGCCUU